CAAGUUGUGCUUUUGUAGCCUCCAGAUGCUCUGUCUGAAGAAGCAGGUGUGAAAACCUGCUGGAAAAGAUGCACAGCAAAGCAAAGCAGUUUGGUGUGGGUUUGGGGACUAUAUCUUGCAUUGGGUUUUGUCAGUGGUGGUAUUUAAAAAGAAUAAAAUAAUAAUAAUAAUCAGAAGUAGGAAGGGGACCGAUGGUCUCACACAUCAGUUUCCACGUUUUUUGUUUUUUUUUUUUUCAGACUGUUUUCAUGCAGUUCUUAUACUCGAGGUUCAUUUACCAUAUAUAUAUUGGUGAACAUAGGUGAACUAAAGAAAAAAUCCUUUUUUUUUUUUGUAAAAUAACCUAAGUAUUUCUCACGGGAAUUUCUUGAAACCUUUUACAUCUUACUGUAGUUUUAGCAAUUCCAUAAUAAAUUAGGUAGGGAAAAAAGCUUGAUUUGUAUAGGCAUCUGAUAAAUGUAAACAGUUUAUCAGGAAUCAUGACCUCAUAUUUUGUAUCCCCUGAAUGGAAAGCACAAGAAGGUUGAUUCAAAUCUACAUGCAGCAACAGUUUAUCUUUGAAAGUGUGGCACUCUGCUUUUUAAGAGAAAAAAAGAAAUGUUCUGUACUAUUUUGACUUCUUUCCUAAAGAUGUAAACCAGUUUUAGUUCAGGUGGGUUGUGAAUAUCAGUGUUUUAUUAAUCAGUGUAAUUAUUUUCUUUACCUUUUUAAAAGAAAGCAGCAUUUCCUUGUAUAGUUUUUAGUAGUUAGUUCUUGUCCUUGAUUUCUGCAAACAGUGUUGAGGAUGCAUGCUAGAUUUUCCUCUGAUGUAGGGCUUGUUCAUCAUGUGAUGUUUGUGCCUGUAGAAGCAGCCUCUUCAUUCACUACCUGUUAUUUAGUUUGCUUGGAUUUUCUUUCCAUUGGACAGUUAUUUCCAUUUUCAACACAAGGUAUAAACCAGCACUUUUUCUACAACUCCAGGAAUAGCUUUAUCUUUUUAGCUUGCAGCACACUCUUCUGCAUAAAGCUCUUCAGCCAUUCCAAAUAG
rnacentral:lncRNA from 1 species